rnacentral:rRNA from 1 species
UACGAAGGGAGCAAGCGUUGCUCGGAUUUAUUGGGCGUAAAGGGUGUGUAGGCGGUUUUAUAAGUUAGAUGUGAAAGCCCAGGGCUUAACCCUGGAAUUGCAUUUAAGACUGUAUUACUUGAAGUUCGAAGAGGUUAGCAGAAUUCCCAGUGUAGAGGUGAAAUUCGUAGAUAUUGGGAAGAAUACCAAUGGCGUAGGCAGCUAACUGGUCGACACUUGACGCUGAGGCACGAAAGCGUGGGUAGCAAACAGG